rnacentral:rRNA from 1 species
UACGUAGGGGGCAAGCGUUAUCCGGAUUUACUGGGUGUAAGGGGAGCGUAGACGGCAUGGCAAGUCAGAUGUGAAAGCCCGGGGCUCAACCCCGGGACUGCAUUUGAAACUGUCAGGCUGGAGUGCAGGAGAGGUAAGUGGAAUUCCUAGUGUAGCGGUGAAAUGCGUAGAUAUUAGGAGGAACACCAGUGGCGAAGGCGGCUUACUGGACUGUAACUGACGUUGAGGCUCGAAAGCGUGGGGAGCAAACAGG